rnacentral:rRNA from 1 species
GUGUCAGCCGCCGCGGUAAUACGUAGGUGGCGAGCGUUAUCCGGAAUUACUGGGUGUAAAGGGCGUGUAGGCGGGAAUGUAAGUCAGAUGUGAAACUCCGGGGCUUAACUUCGGAUCUGCAUCUGAAACUAUGUUUCUUGAGUGCUGGAGAGGAAAGCGGAAUUCCUAGUGUAGCGGUGAAAUUCGUAGAUAUUAGGAGGAACACCAGUGGCGAAGGCGGCUUUCUGGAAAGUAAC